AAUAAACCUAAAAGAAAAUGGAAAUUUUAGGGCAUUUUGUGUUAAAUGCCUAAUUUUGCCGAAAUGGGGAAUUUUAUUCCAUGAAUGGACCUUAGGUUAAAUUUUAUUAUGUGAUUAAUUAAAUUAAAUGUGAGAGACAUUUAAUUUAAUUAAUUAAUGUUAAGUUUGGUGAUUAAAACUUAAUAAGAGUGAAAAAAGGUGUCAAAAGUCAAUUUGGACUUUUCUUCUUAUAAACCUUUAUAAAAAAAAAAAAAAAAAAAAAAAAUUAAUGGUCACAUAUAUGGAAAAGGGUGGCUGGCCAUGUGCUAUUUUAGAGUGGUGUGAACCCAAUUUUAUAAAAUUCAAAUCCCAUUUAAUUAAGAAGUCAAGUGGGCAAGUGGGUAGAAAAGCACUCAAGUGUUUUGUGAUAUUUUGAAGAGUUGUGUGAGCCAUUCUAACCCCCAAAUCCGACCACUCUCCCUCCCUCAUUCACUCUCAUCUGAUUUUUGAAGACUCUCUCAAGUGUUCUCUCCAUUUUGAACCCCAAGAACACCAAAGAAACUUGGAAGCUAAGUCUUGGUCUAGGAAGGGUUUUCCCUAAGUUGGUUAGGGUUUUUGAAAGGUUUUGAAGGAGUCAAAGCUUAUAGGAAGGUCCAAACCUUAAGCAAGAACACCAAAGAGUAUUGGCUAAGCGUAACUGGACUGAACGUUGGAGGGUGAAAACCUGCUGAGCGCUAAGGACUCCAAGUCAGUGCAAGGGCAAGGCAGAGCAGUGAGCGCUGGAGUCUUCCUUGCAAAUGUAACCGCUAAGGAACUAAAAGAUCGAUCGUUCUCAGGGGUCGUCCUUAUUAUACUUCUCGCUUGAACCUGAGGUAAAGGGAAAGAAAAGCUCACCCAGCUGUGAGUGGAGAGCUUAGGUGGUGAUGUGUACAUAUGCGGCCGCUUGACCACCACGGCCAAGGCGUUCUUAGAGGAACUAGGGGGUUUACCCUAUGUUUGCUACUUAGGUUGGCGGGGUUGUAAAUUUGAAACAAUAAUGAACAUUUUGUACUGAGAACAACUUGUAAAUGUUUUGAUUAGCUCUGCAGAGCAGUUUGUAAUGAAAAUUAUCCAUUCCUUUUUAUUA